GAUGAAGAACGUAGCGAAAUGCGAUAAGUAAUGUGAAUUGCAGAAUUCAGUGAAUCAUCGAAUCUUUGAACGCAGAUUGCGCCCGCUAGUAUUCUGGCGGGCAUGCCUGUCCGAGCGUCAUUUCAACCCUCAAGCCCCCGGGCUUGGUGUUGGGGAUCGGCGAGCCUCCGCGCCCGCCGUCCCCUAAAUCUAGUGGCGGUCUCGCUGUAGCUUCCUCUGCGUAGUAGCACACCUCGCACUGGGAAACAGCGCGGCCACGCCGUUAAACCCCCAACUUCUGAACGUUUGACCUCGGAUCAGGUAGGAAUACCCGCUGAACUUAAGCAUAUCAAUAAGCGGAGGA
rnacentral:misc_RNA from 1 species